rnacentral:rRNA from 1 species
AUAGACGCUGGCGGCAGGCCUAACACAUGCAAGUCGAGCGGUAACACAAGGGAGCUUGCUCCUGAGGUGACGAGCGGCGGACGGGUGAGUAAUACCUAGGUAUCUGCCCAAUCGUAGGGGGAUAACAGUUGGAAACGACUGCUAAUACCGCAUACGCCCUACGGGGGAAAGGAGGGGACCUUCGGGCCUUCCGCGAUUGGAUGAACCUAGGCGGGAUUAGCUAGUUGGUGAGGUAAUGGCUCACCAAGGCGACGAUCCCUAGCUGGUCUGAGAGGAUGAUCAGCCACACUGGAACUGAGACACGGUCCAGACUCCUACGGGAGGCAGUAGUGGGGAAUAUUGCACAAUGGGCGAAAGCCUGAUGCAGCCAUGCCGCGUGUAUGAAGAAGGCCUUCGGGUUGUAAAGUACUUUCAGCGAGGAGGAAAGCUCAAGCGUUAAUAGCGAUUGGGUGUGACGUUACUCGCAGAAGAAGCACCGGCUAACUUCGUGCCAGCAGCCGCGGUAAUACGAGGGGUGCAAGCGUUAAUCGGAAUUACUGGGCGUAAAGCGUACGCAGGCGGUUUGUUAAGCGAGAUGUGAAAGCCCCGGGCUCAACCUGGGAACUGCAUUUCGAACUGGCAAACUAGAGUCUUGUAGAGGGGGGUAGAAUUUCAGGUGUAGCGGUGAAAUGCGUAGAGAUCUGAAGGAAUACCGGUGGCGAAGGCGGCCCCCUGGACAAAGACUGACGCUCAUGUACGAAAGCGUGGGGAGCAAACAGGAUUAGAUACCUGGUAGUCCGUCCACGCCGUAAACGAUGUCUACUCGGAAUUUGGGUCUUGGACACUGGGUUCUCAAGCUAACGGAACGAUAGACCGCCUGGGGAGUUACGGCCGCAAGGUAAAAAUCAAAUCGCUG